rnacentral:misc_RNA from 1 species
AGUCUGUUUUAGUUCAGCUGUACCAUACUGUUGUGAACGAGGAAUCACCGACCAUCCUUUUUUGUACACGGAAAUAGUGUGAAUUGAGUUGACGUUGAUUUUGCCAGUGAGAAUAUCAUCCAGUAUUUCACCAACCGGUUUGUAUGGGUGAGAAGUGCUCCGGCCAAAGACUCCGAGUUUCAGCAACAUUGCAGACAUCAGUUGGACUUUGGACGACAGUUGGACUCUGCGUUAAAGAGGAGGUGACACAAAAGUCGCUCUCUUUCCAAAAGAUACCAUCUGGGUCCAGAAUUCUUUUACACAACCGACCUCCCGGGUCCCCCUAACUUUAACGAAGAUCCCAUCGUUUUCAGUCGUAAAUUUGUUUGGGUUUAUUUCAUCUAUCAAAGACAUAUAAAUAUCGGCAAUUUCCACACAUUGUUUGGCUUGUUGUAAUACCCAGAGCCGUCUGUUGUCCGCUGUAUACCAGAACCCGUUUAUCAUAGUCACAGAAAUAUCUGGUAGGGAGUUUACACUGCCAGAGGUGAUGUCGUUUAGUGUUUCUCCAACAGGUUUAUAUGGAUGGUUCGUAUAAUGACCAAAAGUGUUUCCUAUUGAGUCUUGACUAAAUCGAAUUUCAGAUGGUUAAAGAAACAUUGCCCACGAAUUGUCCGAUUUCUGGCUUUCAAUAUGCUGUAUGGUAUGUAUAGCAAAAGAGUUUUCUUGCUAAAUAGAAUUAAAGUAAUCGGUU